rnacentral:rRNA from 1 species
GACGAACGCUGGCGGCGUGCCUAAUACAUGCAAGUAGAACGCUGACGCGAGGAGCUCUCUCUCUUUGGAUGAGUUGCGAACGGGUGGGUAACGCGUACAUAACCUUCCUUGUUUUGGGGGAUAACUACGUGAAACGACAUACAAUACCACCUAAUAAUGCCUGACGCUUGACGUUUGUUAUAAUCGAGCCUAUCCCCCACUAAUAGACCGAUCUCCGUUGUAUUAGCUAGUAGGUGAGGUAACGGCCCACCUAGGCGACGAUACGUAGUCGGACUGAGAGGGUGAUCGGCCACACUGGGACUGAGACACGGCCCAGACUCCUACGGGAGGCAGCAGUAGGGAAUAUUCGGCAAUGGGGGCAAGCCUGACCGAGCAACGCCGCGUGAGUGAAGAAGGUUUUCGGAUCGUAAAGCUCUGUUGUUAGUCAAGAACGGGUGUGGGAGAGGAAAGCUCAGACUGGACGGGAAGCAUAGAAGAAGCGCAGGCUAACUUAGGG